rnacentral:rRNA from 1 species
UACGUAGGGUGCAAGCGUUAAUCGGAAUUACUGGGCGUAAAGCGUGCGCAGGCGGUUUUGUAAGUCUGUCGUGAAAUCCCCGGGCUCAACCUGGGAAUUGCGAUGGAGACUGCAAGGCUAGAAUCUGGCAGAGGGGGGUAGAAUUCCACGUGUAGCAGUGAAAUGCGUAGAUAUCCGGAGGAACACCGGUGGCGAAGGCGGCUUCCUGGACCGACACUGACGCUGAGGCGCGAAAGCUAGGGGAGCAAACGGG